AUUGAACGCUGGCGGCAGGCCUAACACAUGCAAGUCGAGCGGAUGAAGGGAGCUUGCUCCUGGAUUCAGCGGCGGACGGGUGAGUAAUGCCUAGGAAUCUGCCUGGUAGUGGGGGAUAACGUCCGGAAACGGGCGCUAAUACCGCAUACGUCCUGAGGGAGAACGUGGGGGAUCUUCGGACCUCACGCUAUCAGAUGAGCCUAGGUCGGAUUAGCUAGUUGGUGGGGUAAAGGCCUACCAAGGCGACGAUCCGUAACUGGUCUGAGAGGAUGAUCAGUCACACUGGAACUGAGACACGGUCCAGACUCCUACGGGAGGCAGCAGUGGGGAAUAUUGGACAAUGGGCGAAAGCCUGAUCCAGCCAUGCCGCGUGUGUGAAGAAGGUCUUCGGAUUGUAAAGCACUUUAAGUUGGGAGGAAGGGCAGUAAGUUAAUACCUGGCUGUUUUGACGUUACCAACAGAAUAAGCACCGGCUAACUUCGUG
rnacentral:rRNA from 1 species